rnacentral:rRNA from 1 species
CCUACGGGUGGCAGCAGUGAGGAAUAUUGGUCAAUGGGCGGAAGCCUGAACCAGCCAAGUCGCGUGAGGGAAUAAGGCCCUACGGGUCGUAAACCUCUUUUGCCGGGGAGCAAGGGCGGGGACGUGUCCCGGCCCGGAGAGUACCCGGAGACAAAGCAGCGGCAAACUUCGUGCCAGCAGACGCGGUAAUACGGGGGAUGCGAGGGUUAUCCGGAUUUAUUGGGUUUACAGGGUGCGUAGGCGGGCUUUUAAGUCAGCGGUAAAAAUUCGGGGCUCAACCCCGUCCGGCCGUUGAAACUGGUGGUCUUGAGUGGGCGAGAAGAAGGCGGAAUGCGUGGUGUAGCGGUGAAAUGCAGAGAUAUCACGCAGAACCCCGAUUGCGAAGGCAGCCUUCCGGCGCCCUACUGACGCUGAGGCACGAAAGUGCGGGGAUCGAACAGGAUUAGAUACCCUUGUAGUC